rnacentral:rRNA from 1 species
UCAUCUGGCCAUCCUAUCCUGAACACGCCUGAUCUCAUCUGAUCUUGGAAGCUAAGCAGAGUUGGGCCCAGUUAGUACUUGGAUGGGAGACCCCCUGGAAAUACUGGGUGCUGCAGGCU